CGUGCUUUUUUGAGACGUGUCUAUCAAACCACACGAAAUUAACGCCUGGUUUGGCUCAAUCAGCGUCUGGUUUUCCAAAAUUAAAGUCUGCUUGCUUGAAUCUCCGAUGGGAAAUUACGGCAACAAUUGUAACAUCUAAUACAUCAUCUAUGAUGUCCCAAAGGCCCAACUCCUUCUCAGGUCACCUUCUGGCAGCAACCAUGCAGCUGGAUUUCACUGUGCAACCAGGCCUACCCAAGCUGCUGCUGCUGGGCCCAGGGUUGAUUGUAAUGGCACACUGGGACUUGCAGAUGACCUGAAAUACAUAUUUUUCUUUCUGCUGUGUAAGAUGUAGGCCUACUGCUUUUAACUUGAGUUGAAUGCUAUUAAACACUGCCAUGGUCAGCAAACACUAGCCAUUGCUCUACUUCAGAAAGGAUACUGUUCACUGCUGUAUGAGUCAAUAGGACAUUACCUGAAUGACUUGUAGUGAUCGGGAGGUUAUGCCUGUUCUGAUGAUGGUAUAAACCAUGUUAGAUUGUUGGCUCUCUGCAUUGUUUGGGUCUCCUCUCUCUGUGUUCUGUUUCUGUGUCUUUGGUUCUGUUGCAGGAUGGCAGGCAGGUAGAGGAGCUGUGAUUGCUGCAAGGGCACACCUGUGACCUGUGCCUUGGUCCUUAAUAAGCUGUGCCCUAACAAGCUGGGUCUCUCCAUUAUUAGCAGGAACAUCAAAUCUAAUCUUCCUAUGAACCCAGUUAACACAAAAUAUUGUACACUGCUAAUCAUCAGCUAACUAAAUGUGUGUGGUGGCGUAGGACCCAAACGCAGGAGAGUAGCCAGACAUUGCCUCAAACAAAGGGUUUAUUCUUUUAAUUGGGAAACAGACAGGGUCAGUAGCGGUCCUAGUACAUAUGGCGCCCUA